rnacentral:rRNA from 1 species
CGAGUUAACUGAACCUUCGGGGGACGUUAACGGCGUCGAGCGGCGGACGGGUGAGUAAUGCCUAGGAAAUUGCCCUGAUGUGGGGGAUAACCAUUGGAAACGAUGGCUAAUACCGCAUGAUGCCUACGGGCCAAAGAGGGGGACCUUCGGGCCUCUCGCGUCAGGAUAUGCCUAGGUGGGAUUAGCUAGUUGGUGAGGUAAGGGCUCACCAAGGCGACGAUCCCUAGCUGGUCUGAGAGGAUGAUCAGCCACACUGGAACUGAGACACGGUCCAGACUCCUACGGGAGGCAGCAGUGGGGAAUAUUGCACAAUGGGCGCAAGCCUGAUGCAGCCAUGCCGCGUGUGUGAAGAAGGCCUUCGGGUUGUAAAGCACUUUCAGUCGUGAGGAAGGUGGAUGCGUUAAUAGCGUAUUGAUUUGACGUUAGCGACAGAAGAAGCACCGGCUAACUCCGUGCCAGCAGCCGCGGUAAUACGGAGGGUGCGAGCGUUAAUCGGAAUUACUGGGCGUAAAGCGCAUGCAGGUGGUUUGUUAAGUCAGAUGUGAAAGCCCGGGGCUCAACCUCGGAAUAGCAUUUGAAACUGGCAGACUAGAGUACUGUAGAGGGGGGUAGAAUUUCAGGUGUAGCGGUGAAAUGCGUAGAGAUCUGAAGGAAUACCGGUGGCGAAGGCGGCCCCCUGGACAGAUACUGACACUCAGAUGCGAAAGCGUGGGGAGCAAACAGGAUUAGAUACCCUGGUAGUCCACGCCGUAAACGAUGUCUACUUGGAGGUUGUGGCCUUGAGCCGUGGCUUUCGGAGCUAACGCGUUAAGUAGACCGCCUGGGGAGUACGGUCGCAAGAUUAAAACUCAAAUGAAUUGACGGGGGCCCGCACAAGCGGUGGAGCAUGUGGUUUAAUUCGAUGCAACGCGAAGAACCUUACCUACUCUUGACAUCCAGAGAACUUUCCAGAGAUGGAUUGGUGCCUUCGGGAACUCUGAGACAGGUGCUGCAUGGCUGUCGUCAGCUCGUGUUGUGAAAUGUUGGGUUAAGUCCCGCAACGAGCGCAACCCUUAUCCUUGUUUGCCAGCGAGUAAUGUCGGGAACUCCAGGGAGACUGCCGGUGAUAAACCGGAGGAAGGUGGGGACGACGUCAAGUCAUCAUGGCCCUUACGAGUAGGGCUACACACGUGCUACAAUGGCGCAUACAGAGGGCGGCCAACUUGCGAAAGUGAGCGAAUCCCAAAAAGUGCGUCGUAGUCCGGAUUGGAGUCUGCAACUCGACUCCAUGAAGUCGGAAUCGCUAGUAAUCGUGGAUCAGAAUGCCACGGUGAAUACGUUCCCGGGCCUUGUACACACCGCCCGUCACACCAUGGGAGUGGGCUGCAAAAGAAGUAGGUAGUUUAACC